CAUUAUUGAUGUUUCAUAAUGCAAAAUACCCUUCUUUUGCUACAGGGUUUCUUUGUUUUAGUGUUUGGAACACUUCUGGACAGCAAGGUCCGACAGUCACUGGCAGGAAAGUUGAAGCUAAAACUUAAUUCUGACCGUACCAAGAGCACUACUUCUACAGGACCAUCUUCUUCAGUCAAACUGGGUUGCUUUGGAUGGAUGCGGCGUAAACAUAUUUACCACGUAUCUGAUCCCAACCAUUUCUCAAGACCACCAUUAAACAAGACAGGAGUCUCAUCAAGUUAAUAAACUAUGUUCUGUUACUGAGUUUGGCUUACAAAAGUUUCAGGAGUAAUUGCUUUAACUCUUUCCCUGCCAUUGACGAGUUAUUUUGUCAAUUAAGAGAAAACAUUUGCAUGAAAAAAACGUGUUCCUGAUGACGUUUCAUGGUUAUCUGUAAUACCGUGAUUAUCCAUGAGAUUACCCAAUUGAUAAAAAA